rnacentral:rRNA from 1 species
AUGAACGCUAGCGGCAGGCUUAAUACAUGCAAGUCGAGGGGCAGCGCAGUAGCAAUAUGGGCGGCGACCGGCAAACGGGUGCGGAACACGUACACAACCUUCCUCUUGGUGGGGGACAGCCCAGGGAAACUUGGAUUAAUACCCCAUAAUAUACUGUGAUUGCAUAAUUAUGGUAUUAAAGAUUUAUCGCCGGGAGAUGGGUGUGCGUAUGAUUAGGUAGUUGGCGGGGUAACGGCCCACCAAGCCUCCGAUCAUUAACUGGUGUGAGAGCACGACCAGUCACACGGGCACUGAGACACGGGCCCGACUCCUACGGUAGGCAGCAGUAAGGAAUAUUGGUCAAUGGGCGGGAGCCUGAACCAGCCAUGCCGCGUGGAGGAUGACGGCCCUCUGGGUUGUAAACUUCUUUUAUCUGGGACGAAAAAAGCCUUUUCUAAGGAGCUUGACGGUACCAGGUGAAUAAGCACCGGCUAACUCCGU